rnacentral:rRNA from 1 species
CCCUUAGAUGUUCUGGGCCGCACGCGCGCUACACUGACUGGUGCAACAAGUGUCUGACCUUGGCUCGAGAGGCCUGGGCAACCUUUGAACGCCAGUCGUGCUGGGGAUAGAUUAUUGCAAUUAUUAAUCUUCAACGAGGAAUGCCUAGUAAGCGCAAGUCAUCAGCUUGCGUUGAUUACGUCCCUGCCCUUUGUACACACCGCCCGUCGCUCCUACCGAUUGAAUGGUCCGGUGAAGCGUUCGGACCGUGGCCUUUGGACGGUUCGCCGUCUGUUGGCUGCGGGAAGUUCGUUAAACCUUAUCAUUUAGAGGAAGGAGAAGUCGUAACA